CGGAGGGGCGGCUAUACUGCAGUCGAGCGGACAGAAGGGAGCUUGCUCCCGGAUGUUAGCGGCGGACGGGUGAGUAACACGUGGGUAACCUGCCUGUAAGACUGGGAUAACUCCGGGAAACCGGAGCUAAUACCGGAUAGUUCCUUGAACCGCAUGGUUCAAGGAUGAAAGACGGUUUCGGCUGUCACUUACAGAUGGACCCGCGGCGCAUUAGCUAGUUGGUGGGGUAAUGGCUCACCAAGGCGACGAUGCGUAGCCGACCUGAGAGGGUGAUCGGCCACACUGGGACUGAGACACGGCCCAGACUCCUACGGGAGGCAGCAGUAGGGAAUCUUCCGCAAUGGACGAAAGUCUGACGGAGCAACGCCGCGUGAGUGAUGAAGGUUUUCGGAUCGUAAAGCUCUGUUGUUAGGGAAGAACAAGUGCGAGAGUAACUGCUCGCACCUUGACGGUACCUAACCAGAAAGCCACGGCUAACUACGUGCCAGCAGCCGCGGUAAUACGUAGGUGGCAAGCGUUGUCCGGAAUUAUUGGGCGUAAAGGGCUCGCAGGCGGUUUCUUAAGUCUGAUGUGAAAGCCCCCGGCUCAACCGGGGAGGGUCAUUGGAAACUGGGAAACUUGAGUGCAGAAGAGGAGAGUGGAAUUCCACGUGUAGCGGUGAAAUGCGUAGAGAUGUGGAGGAACACCAGUGGCGAAGGCGACUCUCUGGUCUGUAACUGACGCUGAGGAGCGAAAGCGUGGGGAGCGAACAGGAUUAGAUACCCUGGUAGUCCACGCCGUAAACGAUGAGUGCUAAGUGUUAGGGGGUUUCCGCCCCUUAGUGCUGCAGCUAACGCAUUAAGCACUCCGCCUGGGGAGUACGGUCGCAAGACUGAAACUCAAAGGAAUUGACGGGGGCCCGCACAAGCGGUGGAGCAUGUGGUUUAAUUCGAAGCAACGCGAAGAACCUUACCAGGUCUUGACAUCCUCUGACAACCCUAGAGAUAGGGCUUUCCCUUCGGGACAGAGUGACAGGUGGUGCAUGGAUUGUCGUCAGCUCGUGUCGUGAGAUGUUGGGUUUAAGUCCCGCAACGAGCGCAACCCUUGAUCUUUAGUUUGCCAGCAUUUAGUUUGGGCACUCUAAAGUGACUGCCGGUGACCAACUGAAGCAUGGUGGGGUAUGACGUUCAAAAUCCAUUCAUUGCCCCCCUUUAAUUG
rnacentral:rRNA from 1 species